rnacentral:rRNA from 1 species
UGGGGAAUUUUGGACAAUGGGCGCAAGCCUGAUCCAGCCAUGCCGCGUGCGGGAAGAAGGCCUUCGGGUUGUAAACCGCUUUUGUCAGGGAAGAAAUCUUCUGAGUUAAUACCUCGGGAGGAUGACGGUACCUGAAGAAUAAGCACCGGCUAACUACGUGCCAGCAGCCGCGGUAAUACGUAGGGUGCAAGCGUUAAUCGGAAUUAUUGGGCGUAAAGCGUGCGCAGGCGGUUUUGUAAGACAGAGGUGAAAUCCCCGGGCUCAACCUGGGAACUGCCUUUGUGACUGCAAGGCUUGAGUGCGGCAGAGGGGGAUGGAAUUCCGCGUGUAGCAGUGAAAUGCGUAGAUAUGCGGAGGAACACCGAUGGCGAAGGCAAUCCCCUGGGCCUGCACUGACGCUCAUGCACGAAAGCGUGGGGAGCAAACAGGAUUAGAUACCCUGGUAGUCCACGCCCUAAACGAUGUCAACUGGUUGUUGGGAAGGUUCCUUCUCAGUAACGUAGCUAACGCGUGAAGUUGACCGCCUGGGGAGUACGGCCGCAAGGUUG